GGCCUCGUGGCGCCUUGAUUAGCGCGUUCGACUCCAGAUCGAAAGGUUAUAUAACCGUUCCAAAUCGGGUCGGGGGUCA